rnacentral:rRNA from 1 species
GAUGAACGCUGGCGGCGUGCCUAAUACAUGCAAGUCGAGCGAACGGACGAGAAGCUUGCUUCUCUGAUGUUAGCGGCGGACGGGUGAGUAACACGUGGAUAACCUACCUAUAAGACUGGGAUAACUUCGGGAAACCGUCGCUAAUACCGGAUAAUAUUUUGAACCGCAUGGUUCAAUAGUGAAAUACGGUCUUGCUGUCACUUAUAGAUGGAUCCGCGCUGCAUUAGCUAGUUGGUAAGUUAACGGCUUACCAAGGCGACGAUGCAUAGCCGACCUGAGAGGGUGAUAGGCCACACUGGAAGUGAGACACGGUCCAGACGCCUACGGGAGGCAGCAGUAGGGAAUCUUCCGCAAUGGGCGAAAGCCUGACGGAGCAACGCCGCGUGAGUGAUGAAGGUCUUCGGAUCGUAAAACUCUGUUAUUAGGGAAGAACAUAUGUGUAAGUAACUGUGCACAGCUUGACGGUACCUAAUCAGAAAGCCACGGCUAACUACGUG